rnacentral:lncRNA from 1 species
AAUCCCUUACAAAUAUAUGAGUUUUAAUUACAUAUAUAUAAUUGAGGCCAAAAGUGACUGCAAAAUAUGAAGUCAAAAUACAAAAGAGUGCGGGGACGAUCAUGCACUCAAGGUUUGCAGAUCCAGGGAUCCUCAUAAACUUCGAUUAGUAGGUCAGCUGACGGUUCCUCACUAUCUUCCUCAUCUAGAAGGGGCAUGGAAAAUUGAAUUUAAUAUACUUAGUAAGGAAAAUAGUAUUUAGAUAACAUCAUAAGGUUUUAAAACGUGAAUAAUUAUAGCAUAGCACUUACCAUUUGGUUAUGUCAUAGGGUUAUCUUACUUUAUAAAAAUAAUUUAUUUAUUAAAAAAAAACAUCACAUUAUAGUCACAACAAUCAAGAUAAAACACACAACAUACUUGACAAUAGAGAAAAUCAAAUAAAUUAUGAAUGCUCUUAUUUUUAUGUCAUACUUUGCAAAAUCGUUAUGACUUCCAUCUCUGAAGGCAGAUACAGAUUUUUGACUACCCAUGUGGAAUGAACAGAUCAGAUGCAGAUAACGAUAAUUUGCUUAGGCACAUUUUUGACUUGCCAAACCAUGAUACAAUCUAUGACCACGAUCGUACCAACCAUAGUGGUCCUAUCAGAUAUUCUAUAGUCAUGACAGUACUUAGCUAAGGGUGACCCCUAACAGAUAUAUGCGUCAUCACUCUCGUCAGAGGGUACGCCUUCAUCUACAGGGAGUAGUGCUCUUACAUCUUUCCUGAUUAGAUGGAGGAUGGGAAAGACAAAUACCCCGAAUGGGGAUAGGGGAAUAGAUAAACCUCAGAGAUAAAAAACUUAAGGAGACACUUGAUGCAUUAUGCAUGUCAAUACAGAUACAUACUCAAGACCAUCCAUGAUUCAUUCCACUUUUCUUUUCGUUUUUUUUUUGUUUAUUGUUUUAUAGAUAACCUUACCGGUUUCAUAUUAUUUUAUUUACAUGCAAAUCAUCAAUUGUAUAUAAAUCACAUAGCAUGCUUGAAGUCAAGAAUAAUUCAAUUCAUCAAUUCUACCAGACACAGAACAUGCAAACAUGAAAAAUCACAUAAUCAUUAAAUUAAUUUUGUGUAAAAAUACUCCUUAAGACGUUUAAAGAAAUACUAUCUCUCUCUAACUCUUGAAAGGUGGAAGAAUGAAAGUAAGGAGAAAAUGGGAGGGAGGGUCCCUACUUAUAAAAAUGGAGGUCAUUGGAUUUGCGCCAAGUGGCAAAAUCUGGUGAAGAGAGAGUAAAAAGAUGUUUGCCACAAAAACAGAGGAAGAAAGGCCUUCUCCACGGACAGUGACACCUCAAGUGGUAGCACGCCACCUAAGGUGAGCGACGGCACACUGCCCUGAGGGGGCAAUGGCCUCACCCACUCGGCACGCAGUGCAAGCCUAGCCUGUAGGCAUCGAGCUACCCUGCCGUGCGGAAGAUUUGGCCUAAGCACGCGCAAGGCCUAAGUGCAUUGGGUCACCAUGUUCAGGCCCUAGUCGCGCAGAGCUAUCCAAGCAAGCCUUCUGCACGGAUGGCGCGAGCACAGUGUGUGGCACCUGCCAGUCCGCACGUGCACGGGUCCUAUCACGUGCGAUAAGACACACGCACAGGCCCAUCCUUCCCGCUCCAUGCGCAAUGGGACAUGCGCACUGUGUGCACCUCCUGUGCCAACUGCGCGCGAUGGGACGUGCCCACUAUGCACAAGUCCUGCGCCUACCACGCGCGAUGGGAUGUGCACGUCUUGCACCUACCGCAUGUGAUGAGACGUUCGCACUGCACCUACCACGCGCGCACACGCGCGCACACACGCACACAAUGCAUGGGCGCCCUCGCGGACAGCCUUUUCCCGCAGGAUUUUUCUCCCUUUUUUUCUAUUUUUCUUGGAAAUCACUUAUUUAAAAAAAUGACGAUUAAAUAAUUAAAUUAAAAUUAACUUAAAUAAAAUUAAAUAAAAUUAAAAUAAUAAAAAUCGGCAUAAUUUACGGAUCACAAAAAUGAGUUGAGAAAAUAAAAUAAAUGAGUUCAGUGUGGCCUUACGGCCCGAAUAAAUAGGAUUUUCCAAAUACAAAUUAAGCACAGUGGUGAAUGGGUUGUUACCCCAUCUCUCUAAGGUUAAGUAUUAGAAAUGCCCAAAGAUUUCAAAUGAUCACUCCUAGAGGACACGAUUAUUAAAUGUUUAGUUUUCAGGGUGAUCUCCCCUAUCUUGUUCAUUUAUUUGUAUCCGCUUAGGAUAUCUAAGAAACAUACAAGUCAAGUUACUUAGGCUUUUGAGUUAUCUCUAAUCAUUUGCUUCAAUUUAGUAACAAAAACUUGUUCUGAUAGUUUUCCCACUACUGGAUAUUGUUCUUCAAUAAUACUUGUUUAUUCUCAUCCGAAGGUUUAAGGGUAUCAUUUCACUUUAUUUGAAAAACUAUUUUUAGGAAUAUAGUUUGGUUACAAUUCUCAAAUGGUUGAUAAUAUACCUUCUCUUAGGUUCUCGACUUAUUCUCUAAUUCAAUUGGAGGGUAAUCCUUAGAGUGGUGUUAUACACUUUCCUAGUUUGAACUAGUCCUUAGUAAUAAGGGAACAACAUUCUUUUAUAAUAGCUAGUCUUUCUUUGAUCAACAGAAAUAGCUCAUAAGCUCUAAAACAAAUGUUUUAUUCAUAUGAUCUCAGGAUCUGUAAUAUUCAUUCUUCUUAGUCAUAACAAUGUCUGACCUUAAUACUAUCAAUACAAUUUUCAUUCAUAAUCUUUUAUCUCCCAACAUAUCAUGUUUCAUUGCAACUCUCACCAUAAAGACAUAUACACUUAUCUCAUUUGGUAAUUUCUUUGAUGAGGGCAACUCUUUUAAAUAUCAAGGAUCAAUCAUAUAGGACACUUCUUCACUUCUCAAAACACUCAUCCAUAGAUUUGUUAUUGCUUAGAUCCUUAAAAAGUACAUGAGUAUCUAAAAUAUCUCACCUAAGGCUUUCACUAUACGUAUGAGUCGUUCAAGAUUCUAUUCAGCCCUAUCUUCUGGACCUUGUAUGUAGGCUCUCUCAUUGGACUCACUAUUUCUAACUCCCGAAUAUUUUAGGGUUAGGAGAGGGUUCCUACUACAUUCUACUAUACUCAUUCUAAGUUCCACUACACUUUUUAGGUUCUGUACAACCCUAAGCCUCAUAUUCAAGGAAUAUGUCCUAGAACCGUGCUCUGAUACCACCUAUCGUGGCCCGCCCCCUCUCCCUCUGGGGCAUGUCCAGAGCACAUUUAUACUUUUCACUUAAGUAAAUAACAAAAAUUAACUUUCAUUAAUAUACACAGUACGUAAAAGCAUUACAUCCCUUAAAUAAUGUACAUAAGCUACAAUAUAAUACGAGGCUCUAAAUUUUUUUUUUCUUACAAUACAAAAGUACAAACUAGUUACUUGAUCUCUAACUUCUCAAUUUCUCUUUUGUAUCACAUACUAUUCUGCAGUGAAAUCCUAAUUAUCUGAAAAUGAUGGGGGAGUGAGAUGUACUAUCCCAAUAACCAGAUAUUAUGACAAUACAACUAAUGCAUGCAAUAUAUAUACCUUUCACAUACAUCAAAACAUAUAUAUAUCUAAUAUACUUUGCUCAAAAACGUAUUCACUAUCACUGAUAGAUGCAUAGUCAAAAAUUGAAAUCAAAAUCACGAUUCAGAAAACACAUUACUGCAUUGUACAAUGCCCUACACUCUCAUAUGUACCAUAUCAUUCAGCAGGUACAGUGUGUCGCAUUAUACAGUGAGGCACAUGUCCCAAAAUUAGAAAAUAGAUGCACUUUGCUAUAUUGUAUAAUGAGGUCCACUUCAUCACCAUUUGGGAGGGCCAUUCACAUUUUCUUACUACCAUGCAUGCUAGCGUACACUUAACACUUAACACUUCUCCAUACACUCGAAAAUGGAACAGUUAUGCAUGGUUUCACCCUUAUCACUUUCCCAUUACACCUAAAAAUAGAAUAGUUAUGUAAGGGCACACUGAAGCCUAGCAUCAUGCAGGUGCUUUUGGAAUGGCUCACCUCGAUAACGAGUAAUGCGCACUUAUCAAAAUCACUUUUCAAAACACAUGAGCAAAAUAACACUCAAAAUAUAAUGGUACUUUCACAAAAAACUUGCACUUUAUAUAUGAAAAAUACAUAUAAAAUACUAAAAAAAUACUUAAAAACUAUAUAGGCCAUGUAAUUACAAUAUCCACUUACUAUACUGAAAAUAUUUUGAAAGCACUUCGAAAACUACAUAAGUUAUGUAAUUACAAUACCCACUUAUGUCGAGUCCAAUGUAAUCCAUCAAAGCUUUGCAUAUUCUGACAGUCUCCCCCUAUAUUUUUCUCAAUUUUCUCUAGUCACUCCGUUAGAUUCUUCCCUAAAAAAUACUUCAAUUUUCUCUUUUCACUCGAACAGAGUCUCCUUUUAUAUUUUCAUCAAUUUCUUAUCAAAAUUUCGGCAGCAUCUCCCCUUAGAAUUAUCAUCAUUUAACACUGAAAAAUGUUUUUAUUAUAUGUAAAUUAAUUUCAAUGAAAAGAAACUUGAACUACAUACCUCGCAAAAUAUGCUACUUUAACUCUAGCAGAGUCCCAGUUUAAUUUCUAAUUUUUUCUUUUAAAAAUCUAGCAAACUUUUCGGAUGCUUUUGAGCAAUAUCUAACCUAAAAAAUAUUCAUCACAUAACUCAAAAUCAUCCUCAAAAUUUUAGGACGAACGGAAUUCAAAUGAAGGAGAAAACUUACCUUAAGCUCGCGAGUUCUCCCAUGAUUAGCUGUGAGCUUUUGCUCUCCUUCUCUUCUUUCUUUAUUUUUCUCUUUUCCUCAUUCUUUCGUCUCUCUUCUUCACAUAAUUUUUUUAGAGUUUUCUUAAGGAAAUAUUCCUAAAUUCCAUCAAUUUCUCUCACCUUUAUUGAGUUUCUCCCCUUUUCCUCUCUUUUUUCCUCUUCUAUUUCUCUCUCUAACCUUAUUUUCU